rnacentral:rRNA from 1 species
GAUGAACGCUGGCGGCGUGCCUAAUACAUGCAAGUCGAGCGAACGGAUGAGAAGCCUGCUUCUCUGAUGUUAGCGGCGGACGGGUGAGUAACACGUGGGUAACCUACCUAUAAGACUGGGAUAACUCCGGGAAACCGGGGCUAAUACCGGAUAAUAUUUUGAACCGCAUGGUUCAAUAGUGAAAGACGGUUUCGGCUGUCACUUAUAGAUGGACCCGCGCCGUAUUAGCUAGUUGGUAAGGUAACGGCUUACCAAGGCGACGAUACGUAGCCGACCUGAGGGGGUGAUCGGCCACACUGGAACUGAGACACGGUCCAGACUCCUACGGGAGGCAGCAGUAGGGAAUCUUCCGCAAUGGGCGAAAGCCUGACGGAGCAACGCCGCGUGAGUGAUGAAGGUCUUCGGAUCGUAAAACUCUGUUGUUAGGGAAGAACAAAUUUGUUAGUAACUGAACAAGUCUUGACGGUACCUAACCAGAAAGCCACGGCUAACUACGUGCCAGCCGCCGCAGUAA